UGGGUGGUAUAUUUCAUCUAAAGCUAAAUAUUGGCCAAAGACCGAUAGCGCACAAGUAGAGUGAUCGAAAAAUGAAAAGCACUUUGGAAAGAGAGUUAAACAGUACGUGAAAUUGUUGAAAGGGAAGCGCUUGCAACCAGACUUGCGCGCCGUCGAUCAUCCUGGGUUCUCCCUGGUGCACUCGGCGGCGUUCAGGCCAGCAUCGGUUCUGGUGGUUGGAUAAAGGCCUUGGGAAUGUGGCUCCUCUCGGGGAGUGUUAUAGCCCUCGGUGCAAUGCAGCCUACCGGGACCGAGGACCGCGCUUCGGCUAGGAUGCUGGCGUAAUGGUUGUAAGCGACCCGUCUUGAAACACGGACC
rnacentral:rRNA from 1 species